CAACAAGUUCUUGAAAUCUGCUGAAUUCUCAAAUGGAGAAAUUCGCUUAAAGGAGGCAAAGGAGAUCAGGAGUCUCACCCAGGAGGCAGGCAGGAUAUUUGUGGAGGUUACGUUUCAAAGAUCGAGUAAAAGGCGCACCAGCUCUUUCUGAGAGCUUGUUCUCAGAAACCUCGAGGUGGAGAGUGAGAAGGAUGCAUAGAUCUAUGUGCCCACGGGUUAAUUAUCACUGGCCGGAGACGCAUGCUUGGGCAAAAUGUCAGUUGUCUACUUGUACCGUUGUGAACCUCGAUCCUUAAUAGCUGACCAAGAGUCUGUAUCACUAAUAAUGAGCUUAUAGGAAUUGUGCGUUUUCUGUUACUCGUUAUCCAGGAAGUGAUCUUAUGAUAAUUGACCAAAAAAAGCAGUCUCCUUGCUGGACGCAGGUAGAGCAGGAGAGGGAAUCUCAGGGAAGUGGCUCCUGAGUGACCCAACUUUUGCAUUCCUUGGUUUGAUCAACACCAAACUGCAAAGGAGCUGAUCAUCUGAAGGAUUGACAAGGAAGGAUCCACUGUGAAACAUAUGCUUGUUUGCCCACCUAAGACUGAAAUUAAACCAGGGAAGUGGAAAUUUAUGAAUACCUGUCCCGCAGACAAAUAUUCAAGAUGGAUGCAAACUCUCCACUGAGAGAUUACAUCUUCCACGUAAUUGCAACGGGAGCUACCGUGAGAAUAUCACAAUUCCUCUCAAUCAUGGAAAAAUGAGCUGUGUUUUUUAUUCUGUGGUACACAGGGUUUGCUAGCUUUGUAUCCUUUAUUUUACGCAUUGUCUUUAAAUCCUUGAGUGAGAACAUUCUGCAUCUAUUAGGCAAGUCUGAGACAUCCAGAUGUUGCUCUUAAAUUGAUAGCUCUUGGGUCUGCCUUAUUGAAGUGCUUAUAAGAAGGCAAAUAAACGCUGGUUUUAGGCUUUUGGUAUUCA
rnacentral:lncRNA from 1 species